AUAUCAAUAAGCGGAGGAAAAGAAACUAACAAGGAUUCCCCUAGUAGCGGCGAGCGAAGCGGGAAGAGCUCAAAUUUAAAAUCUAGCGUCCUCAGGGCGUUCGAGUUGUAAUCUACAGACGCGUUUUCUGCGCUGGACUGUGUCCAAGUCCCUUGGAAUAGGGUAUCAAAGAGGGUGACAAUCCCGUACUUGACACAACAACCAGUGCUCUGUGAUACGUGUUCUACGAGUCGAGUUGUUUGGGAAUGCAGCUCAAAAUGGGUGGUAAAUUCCAUCUAAAGCUAAAUAUAGGCGAGAGACCGAUAGCGCACAAGUA
rnacentral:rRNA from 1 species